rnacentral:rRNA from 1 species
UACGUAGGGUGCAAGCGUUGUCCGGAAUUAUUGGGCGUAAAGAGCUCGUAGGCGGUCUGUCGCGUCGGCUGUGAAAUCCCGAGGCUCAACCUCGGGUCUGCAGUCGAUACGGGCAAACUGGAGUGUUGCAGGGGAGACUGGAAUUCCUGGUGUAGCGGUGAAAUGCGUAGAUAUCUGGAGGAACACCGGUGGCGAAGGCGGCGUUCUGGACUGCUACUGACACUGAGGAACGAAAGCCAGGGGAGCGAACAGG